GACAGAGGGUGCAAACGUUGCUCGGAAUCACUGGGCAUAAAGCGCACGUAGGCGGUCGCGCAAGUGCGGUGUGAAAUCCCCCGGCCUAACCGGGGAACUGCUCCGCAUACUGCACGGCUAGAGCUUGGGAGGGGAGAGUGGAACUCCUGGUGGAGCGGUGGAAUGCGUAGAGAUCAGGAGGAACGCCGGAGGUGAAGACGACUCUCUGGCCCAAUGCUGACGAUAAGGUGCGAAAGAUAGGGGAGCAAACGGG
rnacentral:rRNA from 1 species